rnacentral:rRNA from 1 species
UACAGAGGUCUCAAGCGUUGUUCGGAUUCAUUGGGCGUAAAGGGUGCGUAGGUGGCGAGGUUAGUCAGGUGUGAAAUCUCGGGGCUCAACCCCGAAACUGCACUUGAUACUGCCUUGCUAGAGUACUGGAGAGGAGAUUGGAAUUUACGGUGUAGCAGUGAAAUGCGUAGAUAUCUGGAGGAACACCGGUGGCGAAGGCGGCAUCCUGGACCAAUUCUGGCGCUGAGGAGCGAAAGCCAGGGGAGCAAACGGG